rnacentral:rRNA from 1 species
GCAAGUCGAACGGUAACAGGGGAGCUUGCUCCUGCUGACGAGUGGCGGACGGGUGAGUAACGCAUCGGAAUGUACCCAGUAGCGGGGGAUAGCCCGGCGAAAGCCGGAUUAAUACCGCAUACGCACCAUGGUGGAAAGCGGGGGACUCCUUUGGGGGCCUCGCACUAUUGGAGCAGCCGAUGUCAGAUUAGCUAGUUGGUGAGGUAAAAGCUCACAAAGGCGACGAUCUGUAACUGGUCUGAGAGGACGACC